GCAAGUCGAGCGAGACCUUCGGGUCUAGCGGCGGACGGGUUAGUAACGCGUGGGAACGUACCCUUUUCUGCAGGAUAGCCACUGGAAACGGAGAGUAAUACCUUAUACGCCCUUUGGGGGAAAGAUUUAUCGGAGAAGGAUUAGCCCGCGUUAGAUUAGGUAGUUGGUGGGGUAAUGGCCUACCAAGCCUACGAUCUAUAGCUGGUUUGAGAGGAUGAUC
rnacentral:rRNA from 1 species